rnacentral:rRNA from 1 species
UACGUAGGGUGCAAGCGUUGUCCGGAAUUAUUGGGCGUAAAGAGCUCGUAGGCGGUUUUGUUGCGUCGGCUGUGAAAUCCCGAGGCUCAACCUCGGGUCUGCAGUCGAUACGAGCAAACUAGAGUGUUGCAGGGGAGACUGGAAUUCCUGGUGUAGCGGUGAAAUGCGCAGAUAUCAGGAGGAACACCGGUGGCGAAGGCGGGUCUCUGG